UGAUCCUUCUAAGUCUGACUUUGAUCCAGGCAGCACUCCUGGGCAGCUGGUGAGCCAGGGGACCAAAAGAUAAAAUGGAAUAAAUGAGUAUGAAUUUCCCUAUGGUCUUCUGACAGCAAGAUGUCAACAGUCCUCCCUAUUGUGACAGAUUGCAUAGGAUGCUGCUUCCAGAUUGGAAGAAACAAUGGGCAGAAGUCACAAAGAUCAUCCUCUGGCUCUGUUCGAAGUUUUUGGUCCUGGCACCGCAAGAGGUUACACUCAGCAGGAAAGCUCUCCGUAAUUUUGGAGGAGCAGUCUAUCAUCACUGGAGAAGACAAGUCAUCUUUCUCCACAACCAUGAUGAAGGAGGGGCCCACCAGCAGCGGUGUGUAUUCAGAGAUCAUCACUCCAGUGACGAACAAUCUGGGUGCAGUAGAAUGUGGGGCUUCCUUGCUGGCAUUGGUUGCAGAGCCUCCAGAUCCUGGGGUCCUUUUGGAAGGAGAGUUGGGGGUGUAGAGCAUGCAGCUUUUUGCCACACAUAGUGAUGCCCAAGAUGUCCAUGCCCUGGACACAAGUCUAUCAUGUUGAUGCCUUGGGUUGUUACAUGUUAUGAGGGACAGGGAGCGAGGUCCAUGUGUGAGCACAUGUGGUGUGUUUCCUCAUGAGAUAUUUCAUAUUUACACGGACAAGACAAUCAUCAAUUUUUCCUAACACAAUUUCCAUCCCCUCUGCAAGCUCGUCUACAUUCACGCAUUCUCCCAUCACCAGCGCUGUUCCCAAGUUGGCUUAAUUUUCCUGUUGCUCAGCUGGAGAUGGUGCAGAGCCACGUGGCCCAAGGUCUUGACUUCCUAUGUGGAAAAGCCAAAGGGGGACCCAGGCCGGGUUAUCCAUGGGGAUGCUCUGGACCCCUGACCUGCAGCUAUCCCUCGGCCAGGAUUUUGUCAGUAUGGAGCACUGAGGGGGGAAGGUCCCUGUUCCGUGUCUAUGCCCGGGAAUACCAGGGUCUCCAGAGGUCCUGUCGAUGCUGUGCAUUUUAAAAGGUCCCUGCCAGUGCUGCUGUCAUCACUUCAACAUGGCAAAAGCAGAUAAAUAUCAGAGAGGCAUAUUCUUAUAUCAGACAGUGUCACUGUCAUUCUCGCACUUGACCACCCUAGGUAGCACAUACCCAGGUGAUGUUGCAAGUAAGAGCUCAGAGUUCACCCUCAUCCUUAGCCUGGUGUCCGGCACCAUUGUACAAACUCGCUGCGCAUCUGGGUGAGAAGGACUUGGUGCUCCCUCUGUGUUUCUCUCCAUGAAGUAAGUCCCUCUUGUUGUAAGACUCUUGUUAGUGUGGCUAUACAUUUAAUCAGGGCACAUGCUGCACACACCAUGUAGAAAAUGAAGCCUGGAGAACAACCAUGAUGUGAAUGAUAGUGGCUUUUUUUUUUUCUAUUUAUUUUUUAUUUUUUUUCAUUUUUUUAUUACUCAAAUGAAUUUAUCACAUCUGUAGGUGUAUAAUGAUCAUAACAAUCUGAUU
ensembl:lncRNA